UACGGGGGGGGCAAGCGUUGUUCGGAAUUACUGGGCGUAAAGGGCUCGUAGGCGGCCAACUAAGUCGGAUGUGAAAUCCCCAGGCUUAACUUGGGAACUGCAUCCGAUACUGGAUGGCUUGAAUCCGGGAGAGGGAUGCGGAAUUCCAGGUGUAGCGGUGAAAUGCGUAGAUAUCAGGUGGAACACCAGUGGCGAAGGCGGCUUUCUGGACGAUUACUGACGCUGAGACGCGAAAGCGUGGGGAGCAAACAGG
rnacentral:rRNA from 1 species